GGAUGUGAGGGCAAUCUGGCUGUGACAUCUGUCACCCCACUGAUCACUGGGAUUGAUUCAGCUGAUCUGGCUGGCUAGGCAAGUGUCCCCUUCCUCCCUCACCACACCACUCCUUGUGCAUCCCUCCUGAAGCUGCAGGUUCAGUCAAAGAGGGCAACCUGCCCCAGUAGAGGAGGACUAUUCUUCAGGCAAGGGUAUACAAGUAGCUGUACUCCCCUACUAGAACCUCCAAACAAGCUCUCAAAGUCCAUUUGUAGGCAAAUAUAAGGUAGUAAAGCUUUCAAGACUCUAGACCACAUCCAGAUGUGGCCCUGCAUGUGGCAGUCUGCCUUUCUUU
rnacentral:snRNA from 1 species